UACGUAGGGUGCGAGCGUUGUCCGGAAUUACUGGGCGUAAAGCGUGCGCAGGCGGUUCGUUGUGUCCGUCGUGAAAGCCCCGGGCUAACCUGGGAACUGCUGAUGGAAACUAGCGAGCUGGAGUGUGGCAGAGGGGGGUGGAAUUCCGCGUGUAGCAGUGAAAAUGCGUAGAGAUGCGGAGGAACACCGAUGGCGAAGGCAGCCCCCUGGGCUAACACUGACGCUCAGGCACGAAAGCGUGGGGGAGCAAACAGG
rnacentral:rRNA from 1 species